rnacentral:lncRNA from 1 species
CGGCAGGGAGUGGUGCCGGGCGCUUCCGCCCCACGCCCCGCCGGCUCCGAGCAAGCUCCGCACGAACGUGAACCCCGCGGCUUCCUGCGGCGGAUGGGGCGGGCGGCGGCCGUGCAACCGGGGCGGGACCCCUCGCUCCGCCCCUCGUACCGAGCUACUACAGCAGCCCCGAGCACGGGAAGGGUUUCCGUAUGGAGUGUAAUGAGCUUUAGGUGCCUGUGCAUUUUCUUGCCUUGUGGGUCAUAUUCUCAGUUGCUGAAUCCACGGUUAUUGUCAAAAAGGCAGUCAGAAACUCCCUGGAGGUUUUUCCAAAGUGAGUAAGGUGACCUCCUAAUCUGGGAGCCAUGAACUUUCUCUAACACUCACAGAGUACGCUGUGACAAAUGAAAAGGUGUAUCUUGAUUUUUAUGAAUGCUUAGAGUAGUAAACAUAAGUAGAGCUAUUGGAACAUUUUAUUUGCAAUAUUAGAAGCUCUGUAAGUUUUAAAAAAAUAUAUUUCUAUAGAAAUUUGACAAUAUUCCACUGAAAUGUUAAAAACGCCCAAUGGGAAAUCUUUCUCAUUUUUACUAGUAGUCUGAAGCAUUCUGCUUCCAAAUAAUGUUGCAUAUUUUUUGAGAGCUGUCUUUAAUAAUACU